rnacentral:lncRNA from 1 species
GGCCACACCCUUGCUUGUCUCUCUUCCAUCUUGACUCCAGACUCCACCACGAUGGCAUGGGAUGGGGCAGGACAGAACAGGACGUGUCAGGCAGCAGGACGUGGCCCAUCCAGGAAACAAGCCCCGUGGGGCUCCUCACGCACACUGCGGAACUCAGGAGCCUAGAGCCGGGUGAAGAGAGCCCACCCUGACAAUCACAGACAGGAUCACAGGCUCAUGUCCGGCAGACGAGGGAGGAGAGCAGUGCCCUCCCAUGGCAGAAAGCCAAGAUCUCCCCCCAUUUCCCACGCCCUACCCACUGUCCUGGACUGUCGUGUCAAGAGGCUAAAAAGAAGAGGUCAAGUUCAAGGGCUAGCUCAAGGCUGGACUUCAACUCAUCACUCCUACAAAGCUAGGAACUUAGGGGAUGCUAGAUCAAAGAGCCAAGUCAACUAGCUCCUAGGAUAGAGAUAUCACCUUGGCAAAGAGUUCACACCUUGUCUAGGAGGGAUGGUUCCUUUCCACAACUGNNNNNNNNNNNNNNNNNNNNNNNNNNNNNNCCUGGCUGUUCACAACACUGCCUUCUGCAUGAUCCGUGUGACUCCUCUGCUCAAAACCCUUUGGUGGCUCCCUACUGAUUAAAGUUCAAAUUUCUUUCCCUGGCAUUCAAGGANNNNNNNNNNNNNNNNNNNNNNNNNNNNNNNCCUCCACAAUUUAGUGCUACACAAACUUUCCAGCCUUCUCUCAUGUUAUUCCCAUUCACAGACAAGCUCCAUCUAAACUUGACUAGUGUCUGUCUCUGAAUAUAUUUUGCCCUACUCUACCACCUCCACGCUUUUGCUCACACUAUCUCCUGUGAUUGGAAUGUCAUCCUCUCCAACUCCAUCCAUCAUCCAACCCAAAGGUUGAAGUCCAACCUUUAAAUCCCUACUCAGAUAUCCACUCCCUUCAUGAAUCUUGAUCCUCUUUUCCUGGUCUCUGGGCUGGGUCAUGGCCCCCUGCCCACGACCUUACAAACGAUAUUGCUUUGCAUUUUGCUAGUGCAUUUAUUGACACAAUUUAUUGGCAUAAUAGAGGGUUAACCUUUGAGUUUGGGAAACCUGAAUUCAAGUCUUAAUGAUGACCCACCAGGACAAGUCAGUUGACCUCUCGGUGCUCCCAGUGAAUUCUCUAAGACUUAACCAGAAGCUCCAGACCAGCUACCAGACAACACAAUCAAUUCCCAUACAGCAAGUUCCUUACACCAAUAAAAUCACAGGUCUUGAUUUUUUUUAACA